UACGAAGGGGGCUAGCGUUGCUCGGAAUCACUGGGCGUAAAGCGCACGUAGGCGGAUUGCUAAGUCAGGGGUGAAAUCCUGGAGCUCAACUCCAGAACUGCCUUUGAUACUGGCGAUCUUGAGUCCGGGAGAGGUGAGUGGAACUGCGAGUGUAGAAGUGAAAUUCGUAGAUAUUCGCAAGAACACCAGUGGCGAAGGCGGCUCACUGGCCCGGUACUGACGCUGAGGUGCGAAAGCGUGGGUAGCAAACAGG
rnacentral:rRNA from 1 species